UACAGAGGUCUCAAGCGUUGUUCGGAUUCAUUGGGCGUAAAGGGUGCGUAGGCGGCGCGGUAAGUCGGGUGUGAAAUCUUGGAGCUUAACUCCGAAACUGCAUUCGAUACUGCCGUGCUUGAGGACUGGAGAGGAGACUGGAAUUUACGGUGUAGCGGUGAAAUGCGUAGAUAUCGUAAGGAAGACCAGUGGCGAAGGCGGGUCUCUGGACAGUUCCUGACGCUGAGGCACGAAGGUCAGGGGAAGCAAACGGG
rnacentral:rRNA from 1 species